AAAGAUAAUAACUUUUAAUAUUUUUUUUUCUAAAUCAGCUUUGCACUUAGAUGAUUUUAGACUGAUGUCUAUAUUUCUCUUAUCAUGGACUUCAGUCGAGCCAGUCAAGAUACAAAAAUAUGCUAUCAUGGUAGGAGGAUGGCCUAAGAAACUGAGGAAACAACAACUUCUGGAGAAAUCUUUCAGUCAGCUGUGCAUGCAUCAGUACUUCAGGUGUCUUCUUCAUGACUCAAAACACCGCAAACUUCAGUGCACCUUAAACUACCCUUUGGGCAUGGUGACACACAAUGUUCUGGGCCACCUGGAAACAGAAGCAUUACAAAGCAUCAGCAACCAUCUAUUACAUCUGACAUCAGUGAACUGCAACAAGAAAAGUGUUUGGGGAAGAAGGGAGAAGAGGAUGUUCUUAACAGAAGAUUUUGCGUCAAAGAUUAUGUCCUGCUUUUUUUCAUCAGCUGAAUUGUAAGUACAAAGUGAGGGUGGGCAUUUUAUUUUCAGCUGCAGUGUGUAUUCUUUAAAAAAGAAAGGAUAAGAAAGUCCUGUCAUUGUUCAGCCUACAAAGUCUGAUCAUCCCUAGCAAAAUUACAGGCUAAUCAAGG
rnacentral:lncRNA from 1 species